UGGUUAUGCAACAGGCAGGAGAAGCAGUCAUCAGUGGCCAGUACCAGCUGCAGUGCAUGUGCCGUUAUACCUGCCCACUUCACUGCAGCUCGCUAUGGCAGACCUCCAGGCCUAGAGGUGGGGGGCCAGGGGGAGUCUAGUUUAUUCAGAGCCCAAAUUCAGGCUUUGGACUUUGUCCCCCUGGGGCAGUGGAAGAGCACUCUGCAGGAACGAAGACGAGAGUGAGAGAGACAGCAACAGACGGACGGACAGAGUGAGAAGCGAGCAGGAGAUGGAAAGUGAGAGACGGACAGACUGCGAGAAGGAGACGGAAAGGGGAGAGAGAGUGAAAUCCCAUGCAAAACACGGCAGCAGGUCCUUGACAUCCUGCUCCUCCAUGGCCCCGGGCCUGCCUACAGAGGGCAGAGAGGCCUCUCUGAUGUGAACGGCGUGUGGAUUUUCCCAUAGACCGGCCAGAGGCCACGAGCUGGGCCUCUGCUCCCUGUCCUUUCUCAGUGAAGUGACGAGGACGGGCAGGGAAAUUAGUGGAUUGCUGUUCCUUGGUCGCCAGGGUGGUGUGACAAGGCUCCGUCCCCCCGCCAAACUAAGCUGCCCCCCUCCCGCCUAAGUGGAAGACACCUCAGUGACGCUGAUUAGGGGGGUGAGACGCAUUUAUUACAGCCAGUUCAUGAUGCCAGGGGACAGUAAUGUGCCAGGAACGCACUGCUGCUCCAUCUGACACUGAAAACAGGCGUCUGAUAAACACACACGCUGCUGCUCGGAAGGCUGCAGUGCACAGGCCAAACAUGGCAGACCUUGACCUCAAACAUGUUCUCUGGUGAGAAAGCAGAUCCCUCAGCAAGGCCAUGGCGGAUUCAACAAGCCUGCAUUCCUAAAAGCAGGGACAGGUACAGGGCGAACUACACAUGCUCUGGAUCAUCCCAGACUUUCCACUUCAAAACCAACUCAAUCACUAUAGAUUCAUUUAAACCACACAUUUCUUUACAUUUUAUCCCAACUCAGUAAAACUAGGAACCUAAUCAGCAACAUUUUAACACAGAGGUAACAAAAACAGAAGCGAUAUAAUUUCAUACCUAAGUAGGAAGCUGUUACGGGUACACAAACACAGUUUUUUUUUUAAACUUUAUUUGAUUUCGCACCUUAAUAAAGGGCAUGUUUCAGAA